AGAGUUUGAUCAUGGCUCAGGAUGAACGCUAGCGGCAGGCUUAACACAUGCAAGUCGAGGGGCAGCGCGAUGUAGCAAUACAUUGGCGGCGACCGGCGGAAGGGUGCGUAACGCGUGAGCAACAUGCCCGUCACAGGGGGAUAAUCCAUGGAAACGUGGUCUAAAACCGCAUAGAUUAUAGAGAAGACAUCUUUUUUAUAAGAAAUCAGCAAUGAGGUGACGGAUUGGCUCGCGUAACAUUAGCCAGUUGGUAGGGUAACGGCCUACCAAAGCGACGAUGUUUAGGGGUCCUGAGAGGGAGGUCCCCCACACUGGAACUGAGACACGGUCCAGACUCCUACGGGAGGCAGCAGUGAGGAAUAUUGGACAAUGGAUGGAAAUCUGAUCCAGCCAUGCCGCGUGCGGGAUGACGGCCCUAUGGGUUGUAAACCGCUUUUGUACGGGAGCAAUAAGGUGUGCGUGUACACCGAUGAGAGUACUGUACGAAUAAGCAUCGGCUAACUCCGUGCCAACAGCCGCGGUAAUACGGAGGAUGCAAGCGUUAUCCGGAUUUAUUGGGUUUAAAGGGUGCGUAGGCGGGAGAUCAAGUCUGUGGUGAAAAGUUCGGGCCUAACCCGGAUCGUGCCAUGGAAACUGGUUUUCUUGAAUAGUGGUGCCGUUGGCGGAAUGUGAAGUGUAGCGGUGAAAUGCUUAGAUAUUACACAGAACACCGAUUGCGAAAGCAGCUGACGAACCACCGAUUGACGCUGAUGCACGAAAGUGCGGGUAUCGAACAGGAUUAGAUACCCUGGUAGUCCGCACAGUAAACGAUGACAACUAGCUGUUGGCGAUAUACGGUUCAGUAGCGUAGCGAAAGCGUUAAGUUGUCCACCUGGGGAGUACGACCGCAAGGUUGAAACUCAAAGGAAUUGACGGGGGCCCGCACAAGCGGAGGAACAUGUGGUUUAAUUCGACGCAACGCGAAGAACCUUACCAGGGCUUGACAUCGACUGAAAGAUGCAGAGAUGUAUCCCUCUCUUCGGAGACAGGAAGACAGGUGGUGCAUGGCUGUCGUCAGCUCGUGUCGUGAGAUGUUGGGUUAAGUCCCGCAACGAGCGCAACCCCUAUCCUAUGUUACCAUCAUUGAGUUGGGGACUCAUAGGAGACUGCCAGGGACAACCUGGAGGAAGGCGGGGAUGACGUCAAGUCAUCAUGCCCCUUAUGUCCUGGGCUACACACGUACUACAAUGGCCGGCAACAGAGGGAAGCGAAGCCGCGAGGCGGAGCGAACCCCAAAAACCCGGUCCCAGUUCGGAUCGCAGGCUGCAACCCGCCUGCGUGAAGUCGGAAUCGCUAGUAAUCGCAGGUCAGCAUACUGCGGUGAAUACGUUCCCGGGCCUUGUACACACCGCCCGUCACACCACGAAAGUUGGUAACACCCGAAGCCGGUGGGGUAACCGUAAGGAGCCAGCCGUCUAAGGUGGGGCCGAUGAUUGGGGUGAAGUCGUAACAAGGUAACCGUA
rnacentral:rRNA from 1 species